GACAGAGGGGGCAAGCGUUGCUCGGAAUCACUGGGCGUAAAGGGCGCGUAGGCGGCCCGUCAAGUCCCGUGUGAAAGCCCCCGGCUCAACCGGGGAACGGCGCGGGAAACUAGCAGGCUUGAGUUCGGGAGAGGGAAGCGGAAUUCCGGGUGUAGCGGUGAAAUGCGCAGAUAUCCGGAGGAACACCGGUGGCGAAGGCGGCUUCCUGGACCGACACUGACGCUGAGGCGCGAAAGCUAGGGGAGCAAACGGG
rnacentral:rRNA from 1 species